CAGAAUACUGAUGGUUAACAGUCAUCUCUGAAAUUUUACAUUAAAAUCUUUACUUGUGUUUUGAACUUUGGUAAGAAGCAGAAACGUUAGCGUUGCCAUGGAUACAUGAGUGUUAAAUUCUGUUCAUGUUUUUAUUUUGGGAAAUGCAGUCCAGUUGCAGAAUGUGGAGGAAUUUAGUCUCACAAUCACAGACAACAAAUAUUAUCUGAAAGUCGGGUUAUUGUUGUUUAUCAGCACAAUACAAAAAGAUUAAUGCUAGAAAUAUUCCAGUUAAUACUCUGGAAUAUCAUGAUUUAUGUAAAUUUACCUCAAUAAUAUGAAUGUUCAGGUUAAGAUUGUACAGUGAUAUUUAUUAUGUAAGUUUAGCUGAUUAAAGUUUAGGACUCUGCACUAAAAUAUUAUUUAAGUUGACAUCAUUAUUAUAAUAUUUAGGGUCAGACUCUACAGUAUUGAGAUUAAGAAAUCAAAUAUUCUAUAAAAUGUAAAUACACUGAACUCAUUUGGAUAUAUUAGAAUCUACAAUAUUAUUUAUGACACAAAUCUAUCUAAAUCAAAAUUUUAAUCAUUUUUACUGCAAACAUUUACUGGACUGAUUUAAAUAUUAAAAUCACUCCUUUCUAAUCCUCUGCUGUACAUUCAAACCUGAGGCCUUAAAUAGAAACACACAAGUAUCUGAUUGAAGGAACUUCUGCAGAGUCCUGGUUCCAGAACAUGAUGAUAGAAUUAUAGACAAACUUUAACAAAAGCUGCCUGAGAGUUUACAGGUUUUUAUCUUAGAUUUCUUCACUAAUUUAAUGAGUUAUCAGCAAAAAUCAAGUGUUUAUUUGAUGAACUUCAUUUCCUAAAACAUCCAGAAUUGGAGCUCAUAUCUUUGGCAGCUGUAAAGUUUCUGCUCCUUCAAAGUUCACAACACAAUGAAUGAAUUCCUAAAACACUCUCAAUGCUGGAGAGCGUUUGAUGCUGAAGCAGUGAUCAGUUUUUCUGUUUCUUCUCUGGAGAUGCACAAUGAGGGACGUCUGCAGAGACUGAGAAAGAGUCUCACCACAUCCUGACAUGAGGAAAAAAACUUUAUUGAAGACUACAAUGAGAAAAAACUAUCAGACAGCAGAUGGCUGCAUUCAAGAGAGGAAGACCAUCAAACAUCCACAUCAGCUGAUGGAGGUCCUAGAGUCUCACCAAACAAACAACCUACAGAGUGAAGACCUCCAAUCUGAUUGGACGGCCUCCUAUUCAGCCACAUGUGUGAACAAAUGCCUCUAAGC
ensembl:lncRNA